rnacentral:lncRNA from 1 species
GCCCUCACUCCACUUCGUCCCCGUCGAUCGAGCACUCCACGCCCCUCUAGUACCCUCCUCUGCACCUCCCUCUCUCUCUCCUCUCUACUGCCUUUGUUUUUGCUCGCAAGAAAAACCCGAAAAAGACCUUGCGCAAAUCCGUCGUCCUGUCCACCGACGAAGCUUCUGAGUCCUCCUCGCCGCGCGCCUCUACGCGUGAUAUCGGUAAGCAGCCCAAAGAUCCCUGUGUUUUUGCCCUCAGGCUUUUUCGUCCCGCGUGGUUGGUUCCAUUCUACUGGUCUCUUCGAGCCUGUGAGGGGAAAUGGUAAUGCCGGUGGUCGCGACCGCGGUUCCUUGGUCCGACCCUGUUCCCCGAGUAGCUGCAGGAAUUUGCGUUUGCUCGGCCGGCAUAGCGCGGCGUGGUUCAAGGGGUUAGGCCUUUAACCUUUACCCCACAGGCGUGGUGGUUUCUCUGUUGUCUUGAGCUCUUUAGGGUGGUAAUGGCGUGGGAUCUGUUUUUUUUUGCUUCUUAGGUCAUCGUUGAUAUGAGGGCGGUAGUGGGAAAAAGCUGAAAAAAAGAAGGCUAGCGAGUUUGAAAAAGGUAAAGCUAUGUAAUUAUUGGUGCCCAUCUGUACCUCUUUGCUUCUUGCAACGCUGAGGAAGAUGCUGGCUCUUUGCUCGCUGGUGUUUUUAGAUCUGUAUUUGUUUUAACUUUCAUGUGCGCUGAGUUCCGUUUACUCUUCCCUUCAAAA